GACGAACGCUGGCGGCGUGCUUAACACAUGCAAGUCGAGCGAUGAAGCACCUUCGGGUGUGGAUUAGCGGCGAACGGGUGAGGAACACGUGAGGAAUCUGCCUUUCACUUCGGGAUAACUCCGGGAAACCGGGGCUAAUACCGGAUAUUUUCAACUGGCGGCAUCGCCGGUUGAAGAAAGUUUUUCGGUGAAAGAUGACCUCGCGGCCUAUCAGCUUGUUGGUGAGGGAAUGGCUCACCAAGGCGACGACGGGUAGCCGGCCUGGGAGGGAGACCGGCCACACUGGAACUGAGACACGGCCCAGACUCCUACGGGAGGCAGCAGUGGAGAAUAUUGGGCAAUGGAGGAAACUCUGACCCAGCGACGCCGCGUGAGGGAUGAAGGCCUUCGGGUUGUAAACCUCUUUCAGCAGGGAAUAAGCGAAAGUGAAGGUACCUGCAGAAGAAGCACCGGCUAACUAUGUGCCAGCAGCCGCCGUAA
rnacentral:rRNA from 1 species